rnacentral:rRNA from 1 species
UACGUAGGGUGCAAGCGUUGUCCGGAAUUAUUGGGCGUAAAGAGCUCGUAGGCGGUUUGUCGCGUCUGCUGUGAAAACCCGAGGCUCAACCUCGGGCCUGCAGUAGGUACGGGCAGACUAGAGUGCGGUAGGGGAGAUUGGAAUUCCUGGUGUAGCGGUGGAAUGCGCAGAUAUCAGGAGGAACACCAAUGGCGAAGGCAGAUCUCUGGGCCGUAACUGACGCUGAGGGGCGAAAAGCAUGGGGGAGCGAACAGG